rnacentral:rRNA from 1 species
AGAGUUUGAUCCUGGCUCAGAUUGAACGCUGGCGGCAGGCCUAACACAUGCAAGUCGAACGGUAACAUUUCUAGCUUGCUAGAAGAUGACGAGUGGCGGACGGGUGAGUAAUGCUUGGGAACUUGCCUUUGCGAGGGGGAUAACAGUUGGAAACGACUGCUAAUACCGCAUAAUGUCUUCGGACCAAACGGGGCUUCGGCUCCGGCGCAAAGAGAGGCCCAAGUGAGAUUAGCUAGUUGGUAAGGUAACGGCUUACCAAGGCGACGAUCUCUAGCUGUUCUGAGAGGAAGAUCAGCCACACUGGGACUGAGACACGGCCCAGACUCCUACGGGAGGCAGCAGUGGGGAAUAUUGCACAAUGGGGGAAACCCUGAUGCAGCCAUGCCGCGUGUGUGAAGAAGGCCUUCGGGUUGUAAAGCACUUUCAGUUGUGAGGAAAAGUUAGUAGUUAAUACCUGCUAGCCGUGACGUUAACAACAGAAGAAGCACCGGCUAACUCCGUGCCAGCAGCCGCGGUAAUACGGAGGGUGCGAGCGUUAAUCGGAAUUACUGGGCGUAAAGCGCACGCAGGCGGUUUGUUAAGCUAGAUGUGAAAGCCCCGGGCUCAACCUGGGAUGGUCAUUUAGAACUGGCAGACUAGAGUCUUGGAGAGGGGAGUGGAAUUCCAGGUGUAGCGGUGAAAUGCGUAGAUAUCUGGAGGAACAUCAGUGGCGAAGGCGACUCCCUGGCCAAAGACUGACGCUCAUGUGCGAAAGUGUGGGUAGCGAACAGGAUUAGAUACCCUGGUAGUCCACACCGUAAACGCUGUCUACUAGCUGUGUGUGCCCUUUAAGGCGUGCGUAGCGAAGCUAACGCGCUAAGUAGCACCCGCCCUGGGGGGAGUACGGGCCGC